ensembl:snoRNA
CAGGUGUGAUGAUGCUGAGAAAGGUUUUGCACGCUGGACUGAGGUCCUGUGAUGUCACUUCCUCUUGGCUGUCUGACCUG